AAAACCGAAACCUGUUCACUCUACUGCCUCGGUUAUUUACGAAACCGAGGCAUUAAACCCUAUGCGACAAAGCCCUACUGCUCCAGUCUUCUUAGAACCGAUGUUAUUGUGCAUUUAUGUUUCGGUUUGCCUUCUACCCGAGGCAUAUCUUCGUGCAUAUCUCGAGACUUUCCUCCCACAUCUUCAUUCACGGUUGCUUUUCUUGCAAACCCCUAUUCUUCACCUCUGUUAGGGUUCUUCAUCUUCUUCCCAUUUUGGUCGUUUGAACCAUUGAAUAUCUUCAUCCCUACCCAUUAAAUGCCUUCCUCCACACUGAUUUCACCGAUUAGUUACUUCUCAUUUUCCCCUUUUUCAUCUUCCAUGGCAAUCUUCACGAAGCUUUGGUGUUCGCGCAACAGCGGCGACUAUGACGGCGAGAUCCUUCAGAGCUUGCGACAAUGGUGGCGUGUUCACUGCUUUCGUCUCGCGCCAGAGGAGGCUGGAGAUCUGUUCUUGGCAGCGACAACCUUUCUCCAUGGAAUAGCUCGCAAAGUUGCUUCGUGGAUUUACUUUGGGUGUUCGUCGCCGCUAAAGGAUGGCAGAUCUGGUUGGCGUGGGCCAAUGUCAUUUACUUCUGCGGAUUUGUUGUUUUGGGGCUUGAGGUCUUGGUGGAAAAGGUCGGAGAGGGUGCUGCGGCGGCGGGUGGGCAGAAGAGGGCUUUAAGGGCGACGACGACGACAGUGGAUGGAGGUUUGCGAGUAGUGGCAAGGCUGUUGUUAUUGUUGGGGUCGAGGAGGGCGAGGUGUUCGUAGAGGCAUGAGGGACAAAAGCUGAUGAAGGCUUCGUAGGAGUGGUGGGGCAGGAGGUGGAGGGACGGUGGGCCUACGACGGUUAGGAUGGCGGGGACACUCUUAUUUUCUAUUUUUCUGCAGCUUUUUCUUCUUGAUGUUUGUUUGUCUUUAAUGUAGGCUAAAGAUCUUGAAGAAGUUGAAUUCUUGACAUCAAUAGUUCUUAAAUUAUGUUUGCUUGUACUUGAUUUUCUAUUGUUGUGUCAUCAAAUGUUUGUUAAUGUUAUGGUAUCAGGUGCUAGUUUUGCUGGAGGAAGGAUAAGCCUUGGAAGCCUAGAAUUUUUGAAAAUAAGGAAGUUUGAGAGGGUUUGGAGGAGCAAAAGCUCACAUGGUAAAUCUCAGGCUUUUGUAUUUUACAAACCUUUGGAGAUUUUUUCUACCUUAGUAGAGAACUGUGUUGGAACCUGCAAUGCAGGGACGUGAUAUGAUUGGUCGAGCUAGGACAGGAAUUGGGAAAACUCUUACAUUUGGGAUACCCAUCUUAGACAGGAUUAUUCAGCUGAAUGCUAAGCAUGGGGGCUUGAAUAAGGCAUCUCUUCUUGGGUUGCAGUAAAUUAUGCUCUUGGAAACUUGGGUUGCGAGCCUCACAAAACAACUAGAAUAGUUGAUCUUGAGAUGAUAAUCCAGAGAGUGUUCUGUCAUCCAUGCAAACCAUAAUGGUUGUUCUUUUAGAAGAAAGUGAGGAUGUACAUCCAGAUCUUUUGUCUAUUCUACUGUCUACACUAGGUCGUGACAGAAGAGAUGUUUCUGGGGCUGCAAGGAAGCUUUCCUUGAGUAUUGUACAACAAUGCAUAGAGAAACUUAAACUGAGUACCAAACAAUUUUUAUUAUCAUUAAUAUCAGGAGACAUCCAGGAAAUGAACAGUCAAGUUCAAUACGAUGAAGUUAUCUAUGAUCUCUUGCUAUGCUCCUCAAAUCCUAUAUGAAGUUUUUCCUUAUGUUACAAGAGAGCUAAUGGUGAAUACUGAUUUAUUGAUUUUUGUGAUGCUCUAUGUGGUUUCUAAAUUAUUUCCUUUUAAACAACCAUGAUGCUAUUGUAAAGGAGUUUCAUUAUUUAAAUUUAAUGAUAUCAUGUUAUGCUUUGUAAA